AACGAACGCUGGCGGCAGGCUUAACACAUGCAAGUCGAGCGCCCCGCAAGGGGAGCGGCAGACGGGUGAGUAACGCGUGGGAAUCUACCCAUCUCUACGGAAUAACGCAUGGAAACGUGUGCUAAUACCGUAUACGUCCUUCGGGAGAAAGAUUUAUCUGAGAUGGAUGAGCCCGCGUUGGAUUAGCUAGCUGGUGGGGUAAAGGCCUACCAAGGCGACGAUCCAUAGAUGGUCUGGGAGGAUGAUCAGCCACACUGGGACUGACACACGGCCCAGACUCCUACAGGAGGCAGCAGUGGGGAAUAUUGGACAAUGGGCGCAAGCCUGAUCCAGCCAUGCCGCGUGAGUGAUGAAGGCCCUAGGGUUGUAAAGCUCUUUCACCGGUGAAGAUAAUGACGGUAACCGGAGAAGAAGCCCCGGCUAACUUCGUGCCAGCCGCCGCGGUAAAAC
rnacentral:rRNA from 1 species